GCUCUCUGUUGGGAUCACAGCUUGAAAGGCUCUUCUUGGUCCGUGGGACUGGGGCAGUCAGGACAAUUUCAGGCCUUCCUGAUUCAAUCUUGGGAGAUUGUAUGUUCCCAGGAAUUUAUCCAUUUCCUCUAGAUUUUCUAAUUUGUGUGCAUAGAAUUCUGAGUACAAAUUCUGCUUCUGGCAGAGCAUUUAGGUGACUUAGUCUGCUGACAAAGCUGCAUCAAAAUGCAGAGGUUGUGAUUUUAAAAAAUGAAUCAACUGUUAUCUAUAAGAGACAUACUUUACAUUCAAAGACACAAAUAGGUUGAAAGUAAUAGGGAAUAAAUAUUUGUCCAAAGAAGAUAUACUCAUGAUCAAAAAGCACCUGAAAAGAUGCUUGACAUUAUUACAUGGGAAGUCAAACUAAAACACUGAAUUACUAUACUUUGUCCACCAGAUGAGUGAGGAUCAAAUUUUGAAGAUGUACUAGUAGGGGCUGAAACCAAAGGCAGCCUGGGUACCCAGGU
rnacentral:lncRNA from 1 species